rnacentral:rRNA from 1 species
UACGUAGGGUGCAGGCGUUAAUCGGAAUUACUGGGCGUAAAGCGUGCGCAGGCGGUUUCUUAAGUCAGAUGUGAAAGCCCCGGGCUCAACCCGGGAACGGACGCUUGAGACUGGUGCGCUCGAGUUCGGGAGAGGACGGCGGAAUUCCCAGUGUAGAGGUGAAAUUCGUAGAUAUUGGGAAGAACACCGACGGCGAAGGCAGCCGUCUGGACCGACACUGA